GUGGGGAAUUUUGCACAAUGGGCGCAAGCCUGAUGCAGCAACGCCGCGUGAGUGAAGAAGGCCCUUGGGUUGUAAAGCUCUUUCGGCUGGGAAGAAGGGCUUGCCGGUAAAUAAUCGGCAGGUUUGACGGUACCAGAAGAAGAAGCACCUGCUAACUACGUGCCAGCAGCAGCGGUAAUACGUAGGGUGCAAGCGUUGUUCGGAAUUACUGGGCGUAAAGCGCGCGUAGGCGGGUCCGUAAGUCGAUUGUGAAAGCCCUGGGCUUAACCUGGGAAUUGCAGUCGAUACUGCGGAUCUUGAAUGCCUGAGAGGAUGGCGGAAUUCCCGGUGUAGAAGUGAAAUUCGUAGAUAUCGGGAAGAACACCUGAGGCGAAGGCGGCUAUCUGGCGGUGCAUUGACGCUGAUGCGCGAAAGCGUGGGGAGCAAACAGGAUUAGAUACCCUAGUAGUCC
rnacentral:rRNA from 1 species